rnacentral:sRNA from 1 species
GCCGGGCACAGUGGCACAUGCCUGUAAUCCCAGCAGUUUGGGAGGCUGAGACAGGAGGAUUGUCGUGAUUAAAAAGCCCGCCUCAGCAAAAGUGAGGUGCUAAGCAAUUCAGUGAGAGCCUGUCUCUG